rnacentral:misc_RNA from 1 species
AAAAAUAAUACAGGAAGAGAGAUUAACCACAAAUACGUACAAGCUUUGUAUUUUUGUCCAUAUAUAACGGAUUUUUGUUUUAAAAGCAGUCGUGGAACCACUGACGUCAGUCUGAACACGACCCUCCCCUGCCCCGGGUCCUACAAUGACACGUCACCGUCCACUGAGGUGUACAGGUGCCACAUUUCUUAUGACCAAUUCGACAGAACCUUGGAGGACGGGGAUAAUUUAACUAUUGAAGCCGUUGUUGAAACCGGCGGUUACAGGGAUCUCUGGCACAAUGGUCAUUUCUACACGCGGGAGAGUUUCAAUCGGUCCAUUACCAAGACGCAUAUAAAUUUCAUGUUUGACUUCACUAAGCCUAAACACUGUUCUUACACCAACAACUGCUCCACAACAGAUGGUGUUCCUUUGAAAAUCCCACUUGAUGCAUCCAAGGAUCCUUUCACCUUUGGCAUUGAUGAUUGGAGUGACAUACCUUCUGGAAUAGAGAAAUAUUUUCUUGAAUUCCAUAAACUGAGGAAAAGACUCCAUACUCAUACUCUGACAGAGGAAGCUCCGAGGAACCCGUUCUAUCGAGAGGAGAGAAACGAGUCUAGUCUUCCGUUCCCCGAGUUUACUCCGCCAGAUUCGGGCAUUUACUCUGUAAUUCUACAAGUCACGGAUAAAGCAAAUAAUUCAGAAUUUGCCAGGCAGAUCGUCAUAUAUGACCCAAACUCUACUAUCACAACAACUGAAGAAAACAACUUCCAUGUAUCCAGCGCGGAGAAAGAGAGCAAUUAUAACUGGCAAUCUCAAUGCUCUUCCGUGCAAGUGACGUGGGUAGAUUACUUUGAGAAUUCGUUUCACAUCGACAACCAUUUCUUGCUCCCUGUAGAGGAUUUUCCAAUUCAGUUUCGAGGCGGCAACGUGGAGGAUUUAAAAGACGAAAUCGUGAAGAAAGUUAAAACUUUUUAUGAUGACCAUGAUGGAAAGAGAACCACCUCUGCCGUGAAUCACGUGAAUGGAAUUACAGAAUUUGAGUUCUACUAUACUUACAUAUCGUAUUCAAAGUCAACUGGAAAUGAAACACAGAAUGAAACAAGCACUAAUGAAAUCAGGAUUUCGACUGAAACUUCUUACACAACAAUGGCAUCAACUGAAAUUGCUACAAAUUUUGAUAACUUCACUGAAAGUUUAAAUAAUACUGAAACGGAUAGUAACAGUAGUACUGUCGCUUUGACUUCCGUUACCGUAGCAACAACUGGUGCCGUGAUUACAGGUUCCCCCUGCUUGCCAACUCCAAACAUGGACAACCCAGAAAACCAAUGGAUAAGGAUUCAGAACAUCUCGGGUGGUACACAUACUAUUGUACAUCAUUGGGAAGAUGGUGACAGUAUUAACAUUUCAGUCCGUGCUCGCGAUAUUGUAAACAACACCAAGGUUGCUUCCAGACUUGUAAGCUUUGACUCAUCGCCCCCGUACUCAAGUGAAGCGGUAUUCUCGAAAAAUACAGGCAACAGAACAUUCGAAUUUUCCAGCAGUGUACGAACAAGAGCAUCAGACAAGCACAGUGGUGUCCGACAAGUACAAUGGCGACUAAUAAACACACUAGCGAGUGGACAGAUACACGAGGAAGGGCUGCUGACUGCACAGUUCCGUCGAAAUGCUACUGCAUCCCCAUGGGUGACUGCUUUGACAUAGACAUGGAGUUUGACUUUAACAACUGUUGGCUGGCCAUUGACAAACCUCUGUUGUCCAAUGCGUCUUUAAUUUUGGAACUCGAGGCAUUCAAUCAAGCCAUGUUAUCUUCCAAUGUAACACGUUAUAAGCUGAACCAUCUUACGUCAUUUGAUGGAAUUGACGACAGUUCAGGGAUCACAAAUUUCAAGAGCGAAGAUUUAGGGAUCGGGAUCAAGCUUACGUGGGACACCGUCCCGUCCUGUUACAGGGUCUCCUACAUUUCAAUAUUCCUGUAUACCGACUGCGAUAAAUCCAAGCCCCCAAAGGAAAUCACCCUCCCUACAGAUAGAAACGAGUUAGAAAUAACAAAUCUGGAAUCCGGAAAAGAAUUCUGUAUCGAAGUCAUUUCAAAUAGUUCGGGAAUCGCAAGUCCCAUUGUGAGCAAAUUGACCUUUAAAACGGCAGCUUACAUCCCUAUAGCUAUGAUUGCAGCUGUCAGCGCAGUGAUCGCCAUUUUACUAGGAAUUAUUGUUAUCUUCGUCAUCCUCUGGAGAAACGGACACGUGAAGCCGGAAACAAAGCGGAGACUGACCAUGUACCUCAAGAGACCGGUCACCUUGAUGCAGGGUUUGAGAAGGCAAACAGGGUUUUACAGUGGUCGGUUCCAAGACGAGGACAUCUACGACUUUGGUAAAACGGUGUUCUCUGAAAACGAAGGAUGGUUGUAUGGAUUUGACGAUAUUGACCUGAAGGGAAAGUUAAAAUCCGGAGACUUUGCCGAUAUCUACCUAGCGAAGAUUUGCAAAAAGGAUAUGGCGGUGGCAAAAAUUCUCAAAGAGGACCACACUGAGGAGGAUCGUCUGGUCCUACAGGCAAAGAUAAGCUUCUUCGCUACAGAGGUCCCGCCCCACGACAAUAUCAUUCAGUUUCUCGGCUCCGUCCUCAAUCACCCACUAUUUGGUCCCUAUAUGUUACUGGAGUACUGUGAGCUGGGACCGAUGAGAGAUUGGCUGAUUGAACACAGAAAUAAAGUGAACGAUGAACUGAUAACGGAGUUCUGUAAACUGGUCCAAGGAAUAGCAAGAGGAAUGGAGUGUUUGGCGAUCAAAGGGUUCCAAAAAUAGCAGGGUUUGGACCGACACCGGAAGAAGGAAAGAACGAGGUAGACAAGAAGGGUGGCAAGAAUCGAAAACCUAUGAAGUGGCUCGCUCCGGAAUGUUACGAAUUUAUGCAGAACUGUACCACAAUGAGUGAUGUGUGGGCCUUCGGUGUCGUUAUAUGGGAGACAUUUAGCACUGGACAGAACCCAUAUCCAGGAAUUGAUGCAAAAAUCGUUCCAAUGAAAGUAAAGAGCGGGUAUAGAAUGAGAGUACCAGAAUUUUGUCCAGAAACUCAUGGAUCAAUAAUGGAAAAAUGCUGGGCAACCAAACCUAAGGAUCGACCGACGUUCACCAACAUUGUAACACUGCUGGACAGCUAUUACGAUGCACGGUACCCGUGUGACUAUGAGAUUGCGGACACCGUAUAGUUAUUGAUAAAAUCCAACAUUUGACUCCUCCUUAAUAAGUGUUCAUGGACGAUAUUUUUUUUGGCUUGGCUAUUGACUUCAGGGUGAAAUAUUGCUUGUUUUAUUAAUAACACAAUAUUUAUUUUUUUAUCAAAUUCACAUUUUGUCAAAAUAUCAAACCAUUUGUAUGUACAUGUAUUUUAAACAUUUGCUUUAGCACAUAUUUUCAUGUAUUGUCAAGAUUGAUCCAAUAGUGAGGAAAGAUAAAGUGUCCCAAUGACAACUUCUUAAAGAUUAUUAUUUGUUGAUGCGAAGAAAACAAAUGCCAUAUUUUAUGAAACUAAGCUUUAUUAAUAUUUAUUUUAUUAUUGCAAAUUAAUGAUAAUAACUAGUAUCAUAUAUAUGUUGUUUUUUUUAAUUUUAGUAUACAUGUACUAACAUUUAUAUUUUUUCACUUUUCGUCGAAUACAUAAAAUAAACCUUUUUUCUGUUUCUGGGACGAAAUCCCAAAUCAUCGUAAGUCAGUGUUCCACAUACUGCAGGUUCAAUUGUCGAUUCCGAUUUUCGAUUUUGAUUUACAGAUAAAUGAAUGUACAUUUUGUUUACGAAUAUACUCUUUGAGCACUCAAAAACUAUGCAGGGAUUAUAUUGUUGUGUAUUUUGUAGCUUUAAACUGUUCCUUCGUUACUAUUAUUUACCAUUUACUCUCUUAUCAAACAUACCAGAGACAAUAAUAUUGUAAACAAAAAUUACUUAAUAAAGCAUAUCA